rnacentral:sRNA from 1 species
UGUUUGAAGAAGCUCUGAAAUGGUUCAGAAGAUCUAUCCAAGCCAGACGUCCUUUAAAACAAAUUUCACCUUUUAUACUGCUGGUAGCCCUGAACAAUAUAUCUAAACUUUUAUUAAGACACUAUAUGAGAGACGAAGCAUCACUAAAGGACUGUGAAAAGUAUCUCACGGAAGCCUCGCAUAUUUUAUCUGAGAUAACUGGCCACUACUAUGACCGGGCAACGACUAAAAGCUGCCUUGCAAAACUGCAUAUGAGAAAAAAGAAUUAUUUCGAAGCGUAUCAAUACGACCUGGAGGCGUUGUCUAUUAUAGA